GACGAACCGUACGAACGUUAUUCGGAAUUACUGGGCUUAAAGGGUGCGUAGGCGGCGCGGAAAGUAGGGUGUGAAAUCCCUCGGCUCAACCGAGGAACUGCGCUCUAAACUACCGUGCUCGAGGGAGGUAGAGGUGAGCGGAACUGAGGGUGGAGCGGUGAAAUGCGUUGAUAUCCUCAGGAACACCGGUGGCGAAGGCGGCAUCCUGGACCGACACUGACGCUGAGGAGCGAAAGCCAGGGGAGCAAAGCGGG
rnacentral:rRNA from 1 species